rnacentral:rRNA from 1 species
GAUGAACGCUGGCGGCGUGCCUAAUACAUGCAAGUCGAGCGAACAGACGAGGAGCUUGCUCCUCUGACGUUAGCGGCGGACGGGUGAGUAACACGUGGAUAACCUACCUAUAAGACUGGGAUAACUUCGGGAAACCGGAGCUAAUACCGGAUAAUAUAUUGAACCGCAUGGUUCAAUAGUGAAAGACGGUUUUGCUGUCACUUAUAGAUGGAUCCGCGCCGCAUUAGCUAGUUCGUAAGGUAACGGCUUACCAAGGCAACGAUGCGUAGCCGACCUGAGAGGGUGAUAGGCCACACUGGAACUGAGACACGGUCCAGACUCCUACGGGAGGCAGCAGUAGGGAAUCUUCCGCAAUGGGCGAAAGCCUGACGGAGCAACGCCGCGUGAGUGAUGAAGGUCUUCGGAUCGUAAAACUCUGUUAUUAGGGAAGAACAAAUGUGUAAGUAACUAUGCACGUCUUGACGGUACCUAAUCAGAAAGCCACGGCUAACUACGUG